rnacentral:rRNA from 1 species
AGUGAACGCUGGCGGUAGGCCUAACACAUGCAAGUCGAACGGCAGCACAGGAGAGCUUGCUCUCUGGGUGGCGAGUGGCGGACGGGUGGGGAAUACAUCGGAAUCUACUCUGUCGUGGGGGAUAACGUAGGGAAACUUACGCUAAUACCGCAUACGACCUACGGGUGAAAGCAGGGGACCUCGGGCCUUGCGCGAUUGAAUGAGCCGAUGUCGGAUUAGCUAGUUGGCGGGGUAAAGGCCCACCAAGGCGACGAUCCGUAGCUGGUCUGAGAGGAUGAGCAGCCACACUGGAACUGAGACACGGUCCAGACUCCUACGGGAGGCAGCAGUGGGGAAUAUUGGACAAUGGGCGCAAGCCUGAUCCAGCCAUACCGCGUGGGUGAAGAAGGCCUUCGGGUUGUAAAGCCCUUUUGUUGGGAAAGAAAUCCAGCUGGCUAAUACCCGGUUGGGAUGACGGUACCCAAAGAAUAAGCACCGGCUAACUUCGUGCCAGCCGCCGCCGUAA